rnacentral:rRNA from 1 species
CGUAGGUGGUUUGUUAAGUUGGAUAGUCGGAAAUACCCCGGGCGUCAACCUGGGAACUGCAUUCAAAACUGACUGACUAGAGUAUGGUAGGAGGGUGGUGGAAUUUCCUGUGUAGCGGUGAAAUGCGUAGAUAUAGGAAGGAACACCAGUGGCGAAGGCGACCACCCUGGACUGAUACUGACACUGAGGUGCGAAAAGCGUGGGGAGCAAACAGGAUUAGAUACCCCUGU